UUUAAUAUGGCAGAUUAGUGUAAUGAAUUUAAACUUCAUAAAUAAAGAAAAUUCUUUUAUUAAAA
rnacentral:tRNA from 1 species